AUUGAACGCUGGCGGCAGGCCUAACACAUGCAAGUCGAACGAGUGGCGGACGGGUGAGUAAUGUCUGGGAAACUGCCCGACGGAGGGGGAUAACUACUGGAAACGGUAGCUAAUACCGCAUACCAUCGGAUGUGCCCAGACGGGAUUAGCUAGUAGGUGGGGUAACGGCUCACCUAGGCGCCGAUACCUAGCUGGUCUGAGAGGAUGACCAGCCACACUGGAACUGAGACACGGUCCAGACUCCUACGUGAGGCAGCAGUGGGGAAUAUGCCCCAAGGGGCGCAAGCCUGAUGCAGCCAUGCCGCGUGUAUGAAGAAGGCCUUCGGGUUGGAAAGUACUUUCAGCGAGGAGGCGUUACUCGCAGAGGAAGCACCGGCUAACUCCGUGCCAGCAGCCGCGGUAAUAC
rnacentral:rRNA from 1 species